GAUGAACGCUGGCGGCGUGCCUAAUACAUGCAAGUCGAGCGAACAGAUAAGGAGCUUGCUCCUUUGACGUUAGCGGCGGACGGGUGAGUAACACGUGGGUAACCUACCUAUAAGACUGGGAUAACUUCGGGAAACCGGAGCUAAUACCGGAUAACAUUUGGAACCGCAUGGUUCUAAAGUGAAAGAUGGUUUUGCUAUCACUUAUAGAUGGACCCGCGCCGUAUUAGCUAGUUGGUAAGGUAACGGCUUACCAAGGCGACGAUACGUAGCCGACCUGAGAGGGUGAUCGGCCACACUGGAACUGAGACACGGUCCAGGCUCCUACGGGAGGCAGCAGUAGGGAAUCUUCCGCAAUGGGCGAAAGCCUGACGGAGCAACGCCGCGUGAGUGAUGAAGGGUUUCGGCUCGUAAAACUCUGUUAUUAGGGAAGAACAAAUGUGUAAGUAACUGUGCACGUCUUGACGGUACCUAAUCAGAAAGCCACGGCUAACUACGUG
rnacentral:rRNA from 1 species